GAACCGGACAAACGUUAUUCGGAAUCACUGGGCUUAAAGGGUGCGUAGGCGGCGCGGCAAGUCGGAUGUGAAAUCCCCCGGCUCAACCGGGGAACUGCGUCCGAAACUGCUGUGCUCGAGGGAGAUAGGGGUGAGCGGAACUCACGGUGGGGCGGUGAAAUGCGUUGAUAUCGUGAGGAACGCCGGUGGCGAAAGCGGCUCACUGGAUCUCUUCUGACGCUGAGGCACGAAAGCUAGGGGAGCGAACGGGGGAUUAGAUACCCCGGUAGUCCUAGCUGUAAACGAUGAGCACUUGGUUGGAGGGGCCCCCCCCAUACCCCCUUCCGGCCGUAGCGAAAGUGUUAAGUGCUCCGCCUGGGGAGUAUGGCCCGCAAGGCUG
rnacentral:rRNA from 1 species